CAGCAGCCGCGGGAAUACGAAGGGUGCAAGCGUUAAUCGGAAUUACUGGGCGUAAAGCGUGCGUAGGCGGUUUGUUAAGUCUGCUGUGAAAUCCCCGGGCUCAACCUGGGAAUGGCAGUGGAUACUGGCAAGCUAGAGUGUGUCAGAGGAUGGUGGAAUUCCCGGUGUAGCGGUGAAAUGCGUAGAUAUGCGGAGGAACACAGAUGGCGAAGGCAAUCCCCUGGGCCUGCACUGUCGCUCAUGCACGAAGGCGUGGGGGGCAAACAGGAUUAGAUACCCCAGUAGUCCCUGUCUCUUAUAC
rnacentral:rRNA from 1 species